CUAACUAAUUUUUUAUGAAGUUGGAACGUUUGCCUACAUUUGCCGCUAGGGGCGCUGUUCCAACUGCAUACAAAUUUGAGUUA
rnacentral:pre_miRNA from 1 species